rnacentral:rRNA from 1 species
AUUGAACGCUGGCGGCAUGCCUUACACAUGCAAGUCGAACGGCAGCACGGGAGCAACCCUGGUGGCGAGUGGCGAACGGGUGAGUAAUAUAUCGGAACGUGCCCAGUCGUGGGGGAUAACGCAGCGAAAGCCGUGCUAAUACCGCAUACGAUCUACGGAUGAAAGCGGGGGACCCAGCAAUGGGCCUCGCGCGAUUGGAGCGGCCGAUAUCAGAUUAGCUAGUUGGUGGGGUAAAAGCCCACCAAGGCGACGAUCUGUAGCUGGUCUGAGAGGACGACCAGCCACACUGGAACUGAGACACGGUCCAGACUCCUACGGGAGGCAGCAGUGGGGAAUUUUGGACAAUGGGCGCAAGCCUGAUCCAGCAAUGCCGCGUGCAGGAUGAAGGCCUUCGGGUUGUAAGCUGCUUUUGUACGGAACGAAAAGGUCUGCCCUAAUACGGCGGGCUCAUGACGGUACCGUAAGAAUAAGCACCGGCUAACUACGUGCC